UGCUAUAGUUGUCAGCUAAGUGGCGCACGGGUGAGUAAUGUAUAGAUAACCUGCCCUUAAGAAAGGAAUAACAGUUGGAAACGACUGCUAAUGCCCUAUAUGCCUUUAAUACAUAAGUAUGCAAGGGAAACGCUUUAGUGCUUAAGGAUGGGUCUGUAUGGUAUCAGCUUGUUGGUGAGGUAAUGGCUCACCAAGGCUAUGACGCCUAACUGGUUUGAGAGGAUGAUCAGUCACACUGGAACUGAGACACGGUCCAGACUCCUACGGGAGGCAGCAGUGGGGAAUAUUGCACAAUGGACGAAAGUCUGAUGCAGCAACGCCGCGUGGAGGAUGACACAUUUCGGUGCGUAAACUCCUUUUAUAUAGGAAGAUAAUGACGGUACUAUAUGAAUAAGCACCGGCUAACUCCGUGCCAGCAGCCGCGGUAAUACGGAGGGUGCAAGCGUUACUCGGAAUCACUGGGCGUAAAGAGCGUGUAGGCGGGUAUAUAAGUCAGAAGUGAAAUCCAAUAGCUCAACUAUUGAACUGCUUUUGAAACUGUAUACCUAGAAUGUGGGAGAGGUAGAUGGAAUUUCUGGUGUAGGGGUAAAAUCCGUAGAGAUCAGAAGGAAUACCGAUUGCGAAGGCGAUCUACUGGAACAUUAUUGACGCUGAGACGCGAAAGCGUGGGGAGCAAACAGGAUUAGAUACCCUGGUAGUCCACGCCCUAAACGAUGUACACUAGUUGUUGUGAGGCUCGACCUUGCAGUAAUGCAGUUAACACAUUAAGUGUACCGCCUGGGGAGUACGGUCGCAAGAUU
rnacentral:rRNA from 1 species